AGGAUGAACGCUGGCGGCAGGCCUAACACAUGCAAGUCGAACGCCCCGCAAGGGGAGUGGCAGACGGGUGAGUAACGCGUGGGAACAUACCUUUCGGUUCGGAAUAGCUCAGGGAAACUUGAAUUAAUACCGGAUACGUCCGCAAGGAGAAAGAUUUAUCGCCGAAAGAUUGGCCCGCGUCCGAUUAGCUAGUUGGUAAGGUAAUGGCUUACCAAGGCGACGAUCGGUAGCUGGUCUGAGAGGAUGAUCAGCCACACUGGGACUGAGACACGGCCCAGACUCCUACGGGAGGCAGCAGUGGGGGAUAUUGGACAAUGGGCGCAAGCCUGAUCCAGCCAUGCCGCGUGAGUGAUGAAGGCCCUAGGGUUGUAAAGCUCUUUCGUCAGGGACGAUAAUGACGGUACCUGAAGAAGAAGCCCCGGCUAACUUCGCGCCAGCAGCCGC
rnacentral:rRNA from 1 species